AUUGAACGCUGGCGGCAUGCUUUACACAUGCAAGUCGAACGGUAACAGGCCGCAAGGUGCUGACGAGUGGCGAACGGGUGAGUAAUGCAUCGGAACGUGCCCAGUCGUGGGGGAUAACGCAGCGAAAGCUGCGCUAAUACCGCAUACGAUCUAUGGAUGAAAGCGGGGGACCGUAAGGCCUCGCGCGAUUGGAGCGGCCGAUGUCGGAUUAGGUAGUUGGUGGGGUAAAGGCUCACCAAGCCAACGAUCUGUAGCUGGUCUGAGAGGACGACCGGCCACACUGGGACUGAGACACGGCCCAGACUCCUACGGGAGGCAGAAGUGGGGAAUUUUGGACAAUGGGCGCAAGCCUGAUCCAGCAAUGCCGCGUGCAGGAAGAAGGCCUUCGGGUUGUAAACUGCUUUUGUACGGAACGAAACGGUCCGGGUUAAUACCCUGGGCUAAUGACGGUACCGUAAGAAUAAGCACCGGCUAACUACGUGCCAGCCGCCGCGGUAAUAC
rnacentral:rRNA from 1 species